AGAAAAGGCUGUCUGUGUCUUUAAGACUAGAUGAUUCAGCUGACAAUACUUCCAGGGAAGUUUGCAGACAGUUUGCUCACACAGUAGAAUCUUUCUGGUUUGCAGGUGGAUGUAUAAAUGGUGACUAAUGUGUGGCUUGGCAGGUGAGCAGAUUUACAAAGCACAGAUCUCUGGACAUUCAAAGGGUCCUGUAUGAUCAUAGACGAGAG